UCGCCUACGGGACGCAGCAGUGAGGAAUAUUGGUCAAUGGACGCAAGUCUGAACCAGCCAUGCCGCGUGCAGGAUGACGGCUCUAUGAGUUGUAAACUGCUUUUGUACGAGGGUAAACCCCGAUACGUGUAUCGGGUUGAAAGUAUCGUACGAAUAAGGAUCGGCUAACUCCGUGCCAGCAGCCGCGGUAAUACGGAGGAUCCGAGCGUUAUCCGGAUUUAUGGGGUUUAAAGGGUGCGUAGGCGGUUUGAUAGGGUAGUGGUGAAAUGUCGGGGGUCAACCCCGA
rnacentral:rRNA from 1 species